CUGAAGAGUGCGGAUAACUCUGAUUCGGGGCCUAGGGUCAUUUUUUUAAUAGGAAUAAAUACAAGAUCGGGAGCACGAUUGUUAGGUAUCAUCUAUUUGUGAGGCCGAACAUAAAUGUAAGAACAACUACCUGAUGCCAAUCUCGAAGAAAUUUCGAUUCUUGAUUGUCA